rnacentral:misc_RNA from 1 species
GAUGAAGAACGCAGCGAAAUGCGAUAAGUAAUGUGAAUUGCAGAAUUCAGUGAAUCAUCGAAUCUUUGAACGCACAUUGCGCCCGCCAGUAUUCUGGCGAGCAUGCCUGUUCGAGCGUCAUUUCAACCAUCAAGCCCCAGGCUUGUGUUGGAGCCCUGCGGCUGCCGCAGCCUCCCAAAACCAGUGGCGGGCUCGCUGUCACACCGAGUGCAGUAGUUUACUCUUCGCUCAGGGCGUGUGGCGGGUGCUAGCCGUGAAACCCCCAACUUCUCAAGGUUGACCUCGGAUCAGGUAGGAAUACCCGCUGAACUUAAGCAUAUCAAUAAGCGGAGGA